GCUAUAACACUCACCGCGAGAGUCCGCGGCUUCAUUCUUGAAGUCAGUGAGACCAAGAACCCACCAAUUCCGAACACAUCAUCUCAUAUAAUCCUCAGAAAUUCCCAAGAAUGAUGGUGCUAUUGUUAUCUUUACCAUACAAAAGGGGAACCUGAAGAUCACAGAGGUUUAGGGACUUGCCCAAAAUCCCACAGAGCUUGGAUUAAAAAUCAGACCACCUGUCUCUUGAGCCUGUGUUCUCAGCCAUGUCUGUAUGUAAUGAUGUUUUACUAAUUUGGACAAAUGACAGUCCCCACCCUACCAUUAUACAGCAGGGGUGGAGUUCAUGAGUUCAAUUAGUUUGUUGAUGGCAAGUAAAGAUGCUACAUUAUCUGGUUGUAUCUAGAUGUUUUAUCUCCCAGACCACUGAGCAGCCACAGUUCCCAAAGGAGUAGCAAUUGGUCUGGGAGAGAGGGUUAAGAAGAGAGAGGAAAAAUUAAUUUCUCUUUCUCCUACAUUGUUUCUCUGAGUCCCAGGACAUGAUUGGUUAAGUGCCAACAGGAGUCAUGAUGACUCACAAUGCAGCUGAGAACCCUGUUACCAUUUGCAAUGACAAGAACUAAACACUAGCCACUACCACCAGGGUUACUCCUGGUUCAGGGCUGAAUACAGUCCACUGGGCAAUGAUCAGCAAUUCUGACUUCAAGAUCCAAUCACCCAGUGAAAGCUACAAGAGAACUCAGUACAAGAUAAAUGGGAAUGACAGUUGCACCCACCUCAAGGUGUUAUGAGGCUAGAUGAGUUUCUGCAUGUCAAGCCCUCAGAGAAGUGCCUGGCAAGCAGACAGUGCUCAGCUGAGGAGGGCUUUCUUGGUUGUGCUGUCUUUCUGAGGCAACGUGGAGUCUACCAGUCACGGACAAAGGACUCUCUGAAGUCAGUCCCAGCACAC
rnacentral:lncRNA from 1 species